rnacentral:lncRNA from 1 species
UAGUGUUCCAAUUAGCUUUCAAUGACAGGGAUACAUAUACAUUUCCCAAUUAGCUUUCUCCUGACUUUUUUGAUGCCAUUAAGAAGACUACUAUAGGUGCUAUUCUUUCUUCUAGAAGAAGUAACUUACAAUGGUACUGAAUAGAGUACAAUUUUUCAGCCAAAAUUAUACGCUAUUGAGAUGGAUCUGGGGUCUUAAAGAGCUCUUAGGUCAUGAUACUAAAACAGCACAAAUGACUUCUUCAGCAAUUGUUCAUGCAAAAGAAAAAGAUCUAUUUGAAUUCAUUGGUAAUGGUGGGGAUUCUGAAUGUGUAUUGAGCCUUCAAAUAUGCCAGUUAGACACUGCAUGGAUAUAUGCUCUUUGGACAUUUGUAGUGUCAUGGAUUCGAAGUUUGUGUAAAUAAAUCUUUACUCUAGAGCUGCUUCUGCCAUUUUAGAUCAGUGCUCCUCAGGAGUUGUUGAUUUUACUUUUGUUCAAGAGCAUUAUUAUUAUAAGUACCAAAUACAAGGGGUAAUUGUAAAGGGAGAAAGUUAUUUAUUUUUUAUUCUCAGAAAGUGACUCUUGGAUAUGUAUCUUUUCCAAAGAUGAUAAAUAUUUUACCUAUGUAGGAUUUCAUUAUUAGAGAUUUAAUAACUUUACAGGUGAAAUUUGGAGGAAAUUAUA